GUUGUGAGUAAGAAUGAGAACAUUCUAGUUAAAGCUGAAAUUUCUUCGUCUUCGAGGGCAGGGUAAAGUGCGAAAUCGCGAGAGAGAGAGGUGGGUCGAUUGGCAAUCAUGGAGUUGAACGAUAAGCUGAUGAGCUCUCGCAGUGAAGUUAAUGUGGCGAGGAGAAUCCAUGCAGAUCCCUAAAACCAUCAUUACGGCCAGACUGGCACGAGCUCCGAAAUGGAUUAAGCUCGCAUUCUGGCCCAUGAGCCACCAUGGGUUCACUCCGUCGCAAUAUUUUUUAUCACCCAGUACUUGGGUACUAUGCUUGCCAUCAAUGGAAUGUCGGACAACUCAUUGGCCCGCAUAUUUCACUCUUUAUUA